rnacentral:snoRNA from 1 species
CAGCAUAUGAUGAAUACUUGUUAUUAUUACUUUUCUUUCUGGCAUCUCUAAUGUUAGAGCUUCCGGCUCGAUGAAUAUAACCCUUGACACUUAUCUGAAG